rnacentral:RNase_P_RNA from 1 species
GUGGGUGGAAGCUCAUUGUAGAGGUCACGUGCUGAGUGCUCGUCACUCGUCCAAUCGCCUCGGGGAAGGUCUGAGACAAGAGCCAAUCGCUGCCCUCACAGGGCAUCACCUGAUUCGGGUGAGCGAGUGAACAGAAAUACUGGGCCGGUGCCUGUAAUACUCACAGGAGAAGCCAGAGGGCGCUGAUUGGCUCCCUGGUGGAUGUGUAUCAGGCUGGUUUGGAAUCGCUCGCGGCUGGCGAAUGAGUCCGAUGUAUGAGGUGGAGCACUGCUCCAGAACCCAAUUCAGACUACUCUCCAUUCAC